rnacentral:lncRNA from 1 species
CACGGCGGGUAUAGUGGUUCCGCAACCUUGGGAUGUUCGGCUGAGCGCCUGCCUAACAUGGGAGCGCCUGCCUAACCCUCCUGACUGGAGGGUCAGCGGCGGGGAGUCCUGGCCUUCAAUCGGCCAUCGCCACGGCAGAAACUGGGGCCCGGGCUGCGUCCAGGCCCUUCCCCGUCCGUCCACAGGUCUCAUGGGCGCCCGGACUGGGGCUGAUGUAGUUUCCCGACCUCUGACACAUAGGAUCUGGAGAUUAAAGGUGCUCUGCUAAUAAUUAGGUUCCCACCUCUCAAGAUCAUUAGGAGCUUCUUUUCCAAUUCCUCUGUUUUGCAUGCAUUGGAAGGAAAAUGGUGACGCCGAGGGUGACUGAUUUCCAGGUUUACAUCGGUUGCCCCAGGGGAAGUGCCUGGCCCCCAUCUGGUCCUUGCUGCUCUAACUUUGCCCUGUUAAUUGAAGAAAUGCAGGUUCACAGGCUGCUCCCCAGAAUACUGAAGAAGAAACUCUAGGAGUGAGACCCAACAAUCUGUGUUUAACAAGUCCCCAGGCCCCUGGAUCCUCCUGGAAUCCCUGAUCCCUGUUGCUCCCUGGCGGAGUUUUCUAGUCCCUCUUACUUGAAGCAUGUCUUUCAGAGCCCGGCACCACCCAAGUUGGGUAUCUGGUGAAUUCUGUGGUCUGCAUGUCCAUGUUUGUGACAUUCUGGGAAGGGUGGCCCAGGCUGUGAUUUGCCAUCUACU